rnacentral:rRNA from 1 species
CUCACUAGUCGAGUCGGCCUGCGCGGAAGAUGUAACGGGGCUCAAACCACACACCGAAGCUGCGGGUGUCACGCAAGUGACGCGGUAGAGGAGCGUUCUGUAAGCCUGUGAAGGUGAGUUGAGAAGCUUGCUGGAGGUAUCAGAAGUGCGAAUGCUGACAUGAGUAACGACAAUGGGUGUGAAAAACACCCACGCCGAAAGACCAAGGGUUCCUGCGCAACGUUAAUCGACGCAGGGUUAGUCGGUUCCUAAGGCGAGGCUGAAAAGCGUAGUCGAUGGGAAACAGGUUAAUAUUCCUGUACUUCUGGUUACUGCGAUGGAGGGACGGAGAAGGCUAGGCCAGCUUGGCGUUGGUUGUCCAAGUUUAAGGUGGUAGGCUGAAAUCUUAGGUAAAUCCGGGGUUUCAAGGCCGAGAGCUGAUGACGAGUCGUCUUUUAGAUGACGAAGUGGUUGAUGCCAUGCUUCCAAGAAAAGCUUCUAAGCUUCAGGUAACCAGGAACCGUACCCCAAACCGACACAGGUGGUCGGGUAGAGAAUACCAAGGCGCUUGAGAGAACUCGGGUGAAGGAACUAGGCAAAAUGGCACCGUAACUUCGGGAGAAGGUGCGCCGGCUAGGGUGAAGGAUUUACUCCGUAAGCUCUGGCUGGUCGAAGAUACCAGGCCGCUGCGACUGUUUAUUAAAAACACAGCACUCUGCAAACACGAAAGUGGACGUAUAGGGUGUGACGCCUGCCCGGUGCCGGAAGGUUAAUUGAUGGGGUUAGCGCAAGCGAAGCUCUUGAUCGAAGCCCCGGUAAACGGCGGCCGUAACUAUAACGGUCCUAAGGUAGCGAAAUUCCUUGUCGGGUAAGUUCCGACCUGCACGAAUGGCGUAACGAUGGCGGCGCUGUCUCCACCCGAGACUCAGUGAAAUUGAAAUCGCUGUGAAGAUGCAGUGUAUCCGCGGCUAGACGGAAAGACCCCGUGAACCUUUACUGUAGCUUUGCACUGGACUUUGAGCCUGCUUGUGUAGGAUAGGUGGGAGGCUUUGAAGCGUGGACGCCAGUUCGCGUGGAGCCAUCCUUGAAAUACCACCCUGGCAUGCUU